GAGGACAGUGGAACUCCAUGUGUAGCGGUGAAAUGCGUAGAUAUAUGGAAGAACACCAGUGGCGAAGGCGGCUGUCUGGUCUGUAACUGACGCUGAGGCUCGAAAGUAUGGGUAGCAAACAGGAUUAGAUACCCUGGUAGUCCAUACCGUAAACGAUGAAUGCUAAGUGUUGGAGGGUUUCCGCCCUUCAGUGCUGCAGCUAACGCAUUAAGCAUUCCGCCUGGGGAGUACGGCCGCAAGGCUGAAACUCAAAGGAAUUGACGGGGGCCCGCACAAGCGGUGGAGCAUGUGGUUUAAUUCGAAGCUACGCGAAGAACCUUACCAGGUCUUGACAUACUAUGCAAAUCUAAGAGAUUAGACGUUCCCUUCGGGGACAUGGAUACAGGUGGUGCAUGGUUGUCGUCAGCUCGUGUCGUGAGAUGUUGGGUUAAGUCCCGCAACGAGCGCAACCCUUAUUAUCAGUUGCCAGCAUUAAGUUGGGCACUCUGGUGAGACUGCCGGUGACAAACCGGAGGAAGGUGGGGAUGACGUCAAAUCAUCAUGCCCCUUAUGACCUGGGCUACACACGUGCUACAAUGGAUGGUACAACGAGUUGCGAACUCGCGAGAGUAAGCUAAUCUCUUAAAGCCAUUCUCAGUUCGGAUUGUAGGCUGCAACUCGCCUACAUGAAGUCGGAAUCGCUAGUAAUCGCGGAUCAGCAUGCCGCGGUGAAUACGUUCCCGGGCCUUGUACACACCGCCCGUCACACCAUGAGAGUUUGUAACACCCAAAGUCGGUGGGGUAACCUUUUAGGAACUCAGC
rnacentral:rRNA from 1 species